CCUGAUUUUACACUAUUGUAAAAAUUUACCUGAAAGAUAAACCCCCUAUCUUUGUGCACUGCAAUGUUGUGGUGCAUUUCUCCCCUGCACAGUUAUCACCUAGAUAUUUAACCCACAUCUAUUUUUACAACAUUUUUUCUUGCUUUUUCAAUCUACUUUUUCUCAUUAGAAUAUGUUUGGGUUCUUUUUGUUCUUCUAAAUUAAAGAGUAUAAGCCACAUGAGAAGAACACGAGCAUAUACAAACCGAGUACUCCAAACCCCGAAUAGAACUCUCCACUCAUUUUAUCAAUUAGGUAGUUAAAUCUAAAAUACCAUGAUCACAUUGAUUAGUUACCUCUCGGCCUUCCAAUAACUAUAGUCAAUUUUAACAAGUUUUUGUCGAAGCAGUCCAUCCGCCUUUUUUAUGUAGGGAAAAGGUGUAAAUUGAUAUAAUUUAUAUAAUAAAGAUAAUUUUUAGCUGAACUAGAACUGCUUUUCCCUAUACAAUGAACAUAGUAGUUAUUUGUUAACUAAUGUUUUUAACCUUCAAUAUAGUAUAAGUUAUUGUUU